UACGUAGGUGGCAAGCGUUGUCCGGAUUUACUGGGCGUAAAGAGCGCGCAGGCGGUCGUUCAAGUCGCGUGUGAAAGCCCCCGGCUCAACUGGGGAGGGUCACGCGAUACUGAUCGACUCGAAGGCAGGAGAGGGCAAUGGAAUUCCCGGUGUAGUGGUGGAAUGCGUAGAUAUCGGGAGGAACACCAGUGGCGAAGGCGGUUGCCUGGAGCUUUGCUGACGCUGAGGCGCGAAAGCGUGGGGAGCGAGUCCGG
rnacentral:rRNA from 1 species